rnacentral:lncRNA from 1 species
CUAGGUUCGCUCAUUUUUAAUAUCUAAAAUCUGUCUAAAACUAUCGUAUUAAUUCAAUGAAAAAAAAAAUUUUAGAAAAAUAUUUAUCGAGAUGCAUUAUUGCAUCCAUGAAUUUUAAAUUAUCCCGGGAAGAUGCAUAAGCCACAUUCUCAAUUGAAAAGAAUAUUUUAAAUUAUGCCUAAAUUUUUUCUAAACGUAAAAACAUUAAUUUAUCUUUUUGUAAAAAUUAGUAACGAUUUAUUUAGUCAAAAGGCUAUUUAACUUUAACAAAAUUUUAAGCAAAAAUCAAUUUUAGGCAAUUAAUUCGACAAAUAAUUAAAUUUUAAGAUAAUAAAAUAAUAAAAUAAAUAAAAUAAAAAUAUAAAUAAAAUUAUCUCUUAAUUUUAAAAGCAAAUAUCCAUUUUUUAUUUAUACAUAUAUAUUUUAAUAGAUCUGUAGAUAAAAGAAAAGUAUAUGCGUCUUUGAGGUUGUAGACCAGAGAGGGGGAAAGCGACAACCAUGACCGGCUGUCUCGCCGGCAUCGGUGGAGAGGAUAAGGGGAUUCGGCUAGUAGCGAGUCCGGUGAGAUCCGACCAAAAUUAACCCGAAAAUGGGCUGCCGGGUCACCGGAAAAAGGAGAAAAUAGGACGCAGUGAGAGUAGGGGAUUUUUGCCGGCGGUGGUUGUUAGUUCGCCAUAGCAGGUCGUUUCCCAUGGAUUUUCGUGAUAGGGGGUCGGAUCCGGUGUGGUUUUUCCGGUUUCCCGGUGAUUUGGUGAUGGCCGGAAUGGCACGUGUGCCCGGUUAGCCGGAUUUUGGAUUAUUUUGAUGUGUUGGCACUGAUUUGACCGGAGUUCAAAGUGGGUAACAUUUCCCAGCGAGGAAGUGCCAUUUCCGGUGAAAAUAUCGCCGGAACAAUGGGAUUUGCGAUUUGCCUUUCUCCCUUUUUCUGUCUAUUUUUUUUGCCAGCCUCGCGAUGAGUGUGCGCGUGUGUGAUGUUCUUUGCGUCUAUGUAUUUUUUUAAAUCGGGCAUGCUCAGCCUGUGUAUGUAAAUUGAUGGAGAAGAUGAAGGGGUUGAUAUAGUGUUGUUGUGCAAAAUAGUGUAUGUUGCAGUAUGUGUGUGCAGUGUAUGUUUCCGGUGAAUAUAAAUAUGCAGAUAACAGUGUGAAAUUGUAACAUGCCCAUUUUUUUCUCUCUAUUCCGAUUUUAACUUAGGAGUAUAUGCAUAAACACUUAGUAAUUUAAUAUACAACACAUAAUAAUAUUUACAUUCACCUAAUACACCAAUAACACAUUAUGAAUAAUAUAUGAAAAUUACUUAAGCAAUUUUAUUCAUAUUUUUUAUUUGUAAUAGUGUUUAUGCAAUAAAUUACGUAGAAUCAAAAUGAAACAUGUGUUAAGUUGAACAAGUUGAACAGAAAUACGAAGUUGUCACCGAAAUUUUCAAGUAAAAUAUUGAAAUUUUGAAUUUUCACUCUUUCUUUGAUUUUUGCUUGCUGAUUUUUCACUCUCUUUGUUAGAUAUACUCAGUGUAGAAUAUUAUGUUCUCACAGGUGACAAAAGAGUUUUAAAAUGAGGUGUAGGUGACAUAAGUUUUAAUUAUUAGUUGGAGGUGACAAUUACUUUAUUAUCUAUUAAGAAAGUUGGGAAAGUUUUAAAAUAAUCCACAAGUUUUUAAAUUUAUACUUUGAUCCUAAUGUAUACCUAAAAUAACGGGAAACAGAGGGAAAAAAAAGGCAUCUUUCUCUUCUCAUCCAUUGUUGUUUUCU